rnacentral:rRNA from 1 species
GACGAACGCUGGCGGCGUGCCUAAUACAUGCCAGUCGAACGCUGAAGCGAGGAGCUUGCUCUUCUUGGAUGAGCUGCGAACGGGUGAGUAACGCGUAGGUAACCUGCCUUUUAGCGGGGGAUAACUUUUGGAAACGAUAGCUAAUACCGCAUAACAAAUUAAAACACAUGUUUUUUUUUUGAAAGGGGCAUUUGCUCCACUAUAAGAUGGACCUGCGUUGGAUUAGCCAGUUGGGUAGGUAACGGCUCACCCAGGCGACGAUACAUAGCCGACCUGAGAGGGUGGACGGCCACACUGGGACUGAGACACGGCCCAAACCCCCACGGGGGGCAGCAGUAGGGAAUCUUCGGCAAUGGGGGCAACGCUGAACGAGCAACGCCGCGUGAGUGAAGAAGGGUUUCGGGUCGUAAAACUCUGUUGUAAGUGAAGAACGAAAGUGAGAGUGGAAAAUGCACGCUGUGACGGUAGCUAACCAGAAAGGCACGGCUAACUACGUG